rnacentral:lncRNA from 1 species
AUGGAGCUUCUGCUGACAGCUCUCCUCAUCCUGAGCUCGCGGACGGCCCGAUCGGAGGAGGACAGAGACACUCUGUGGGACGCCUGGGGCUCCUGGAGUGAAUGCUCCCGGACGUGUGGAGGAGGCGCGUCGUACUCGCUCAGACGAUGCCUCAGUUCCAAGACCUGCGAGGGGCAGAAUAUCAAAUAUCGCACAUGCAGUAAUGUGGAUUGCCCUCCAGAUGCCGGGGAUUUUCGCGCCCAGCAGUGUUCAGCUCAUGCAGACGUGCGCUACCAGGGUCAGUACCACGAGUGGCUGCCUGUGUACAACGACCCGGACAACCCCUGCGCUCUCAAGUGCAAAGCCAAGGGCUCGGGCCUCGUGAUGGAGCUGGCCCCAAAGGUCCUGGAUGGGACUCGCUGUUACACCGAGUCCUUGGACAUGUGCAUCAGUGGAGUCUGCCAGAUUGUGGGUUGCGAUCAUGAGCUGGGGAGCACAGCAAAGGAGGACAACUGUGGUGUCUGCAAUGGAGAUGGUUCCUCCUGCAGACUGGUGCGGGGACACUACAAAUCCCAGCAUGCAUCAGGAAAAACCGAGGACACGGUUGUCGUCAUCCCCUACAAGAGUCGCCAUGUGCGUCUGGUCCUGAAAGGCCCGGAUCACUUGUACGUGGAGAGUAAGACCCUACAAGGGAUAAAAGGUGAGCUGGACUUGGAUAGAUCAGGGCAGCACCACCUGGAGAACACCACCUUGGACUUCCAGAAACUUUCAGAUAAGGAGGUCCUGAGAAUCACGGGUCCACUCGGAGCUGACUUCACAGUCAAAUUAGCGGGUGGAGCGGACAGUGUGGUGCAGUACAUCUACUACCAGCCCAUCAUCCACCGCUGGAGGGAGACCGACUUCUUCCCGUGCUCCGUCACAUGUGGUGGAGGGUACCAGCUCACCUCUGCAGAGUGCUUUGACCUCCGGAGCAGCCGUGUGGUCGUGGAUCAGUAUUGCCAUUAUUACCCUGAAAACAUCAAACCGAAACCGAAACUCCAGGAGUGCAACAUGGAGCCCUGUCUGGCCAGUGACGGCUACAAGCAGAUCAUGCCAUACGACCUCUACCACCCCCUGCCUCGAUGGGAGAGCAGUCCCUGGACCGCCUGCUCCACCUCCUGCGGCGGAGGCAUCCAGAGUCGCUCAGUAUCCUGUGUGGAGGAGGACAUGCAGGGUGUCAUCACCCCCACGGAGGAGUGGAAGUGUCUCUACUCCCCCAAGACCGCCAUCCUGCAGCCCUGCAACACCUUCGACUGCCCCGUCUGGCUGGCACAGGAGUGGUCGCCCUGCACUGUGACCUGUGGGCAGGGCCUGCGCUACAGGGUGGUGUUGUGCAUCGAUCACAGAGGACUCCACGCUGGAGGCUGCAACCCCACCACCAAACCCCACAUCAAGGAGGAGUGCCUGGUGACUGUGCCCUGCUAUAAGUCCAUAGAUACGCUCCCAGUCGAGGCAAAACCUGUGUGGCAUAAGCAGGCCAUCGAGCUGGACGAGGAGAUCACCGUCACCGAGGAGCCAACCUUCAUCCCUGGUCCCUGGCAGACCUGCAGCAGGACAUGUGGCGCCGGGAUCCAGCAACGAACCGUCAAGUGCCAGGUGCUGCUGUCCUUCUCCCAGACUGUUGCUGACCUGCCCGAUGACGAGUGCGAGGGGGUCAAACCUGCAGCAAGUCAGCCCUGCUACCGCACUCCCUGCUCUGGUGUUUCAGGCAAAGAGAAAGAAAGUGAAAAGGAAGAGGAGGAGGAGGAGGAGACGCCUGAGAGAGAAGAGCUGCACGACUGGGAGUAUGAGGGCUUCACAGAGUGUUCAGAGAGCUGUGGUGGAGGUGUGCAGGAGGCCGUCGUCAUCUGCCUCAACAAGCAGACCAGGGAGGCAGCAGACCAGAGCCUGUGUGUGAGCUCCCGACGGCCACCGCAACUCCUCCAGGACUGCAAAACUCAGCCCUGCCCACCAAGUGUUAUUACAAGUAGGUUGUCACAGCAUUUUGAUUCUAAAAUAAUUGUAGAUGAAGCCCAUCGAAGGUUUAACUUUUUUAGUUUUUCCAAGUGGAGUUCAUGCUCUGCUACCUGUGGGGUUGGUCUAAUGACCCGGACUGUGGCGUGUACUCACCGACCCUCUCGGGACAGCAACCGCACUGAGGUUUUGAGGGAUGAAGACUGUCAGAACCCAAAACCCAGUCCUGUCCAAGCCUGCAACCGCUUUGACUGCCCUCCAACGUGGGACACACCUGAGUGGGGACAGUGCUCCCGGAGCUGUGGUGGUGGAUUUCAAAGGAGGCAGGUCUUGUGCAAACAGCGGUUGGCGGAUGGCAGCAUCCUGGAGCUGCCUGACACCUUCUGCUCUUCCAGGACUCCUUCAAACCAGCAGCCCUGUGCCAAGAAAGAGUGCCCACCUCAGUGGUCCGUCAAGGCGGAUCCGACCAUCCUGGCCCAGAGGAAGGUGUAUAUCCAGUGGAGGAAGGGCAAGAAGUUGCACUUGGUAGUGGGAGGUUACGCCUACCUCCUCCCUUGGACAACUGUGGUCCUUCGCUGCCCAACCCGACACUUCCGCAAGGGCCACAUCCGAUGGUUGAAGGACGGGAAGCCCUUGGUCGGCCUUCCACACCUCUCCAUAACAUCACUCGGAUACGUGAAGAUGCAGCAGGUUCGUGCAUCAGAUGCAGGGAUAUACACGUGUGUUGCAGGUCUGGCACAAGAACAUUUUGUCCUGCAAAUUAUUGGCAGCAAGCAGAAGCUCUCUGUCCCAGAGUCAUGGCGUCAUGGCGCAGACGGACAGCAAAAGGUUCGGCAGUCAGAUCUGGCCUCAUCAGGAGAAAGAUUCCAGGAGCUUCCCAUCUCCCUCAACCAGUACGACAAUAUAGUCGAGCAUUUGCUUGAACUCAAAGGUUCGCUCCAAGAGGGAAAAGACAUUGCUGAUAAGCAGCACUCCAGUGAAAAGAACAGAUCGACCCUGGAAGAUGACAGCUCAGAACUUUCAAGCCUGCUCGUUCUCACCGCCGAUGCCCACAGGCUCGAUGAGAUCACGCACAGCCUCUCUGAAGGCCUCGGAGGACCGUGGGGGGAACAGCUCAUCGCUCAGCUGCUCAGUGAGCUCACCACGACUCAAGGUGAAACCAAUGAGUCCACUCUUCAUCCCCCGGGAAGUGCAGAGUCCUCCACGCAAGUUCCUCUCCUUUACAAACCGAACAUUAAAGCACACACAUCCAGGCCAAGAAACCCGGUGAUCGUCCAGCGGUCCAGGAAGGUCGGAGCUGUGCCGUCAGCUGACAUGAUAGUUUAUGUGGGAGUCCCAGUUCUGGUGCAGAAAGCCACUUCUAGUCUGGAGCUGAGGUGUGAAGCGCUGGGGAACCCUGAACCGUCCCGAACAUGGACAAAGAAUGGAAAAGAGUUGCACUACAACAGCAGAGUAGGCCUGUUGCCCACCGGCUCACUGAGGAUCCAGUCUCCAAGCAGAGUAGAUGAGGGUCUGUACACCUGCACGGCAAGGAACCGUCACGGUUCAGCUGCUCUUUCAUCCUGGCUGCAGAUUUCAGGUGAGAAAAACAAAGACAGAAUGUUGCUGCAAGUUACAGUCCAGUUUUCCUCACUGUGUGGUUGUAUUAGGUGGCGAGUGGAUCCCUGGUCAUCGUGCUCAGCCACUUGUGGGGGCGGAUCCCAGACCAGGAGUGUCCGCUGCACGAAGGGUCCUGAGGGCAGAUCAAGAGAGUUGGGGAGCAAGCACUGCCUCGGCACGGGGAGGAAACCCUCACAGACCAGGCAGUGCAACCAGCUGCCCUGCGCCAGGUGGGCUGUUACCCACUGGGGACCGUGUCACGGUCAGUGUGUGGGCCCCAGUGUCGCCACGCAGCACCGCCAUGUUUACUGCCAAGACACCAACGCCACCAAAGUCUCUCAUAAGAUGUGCGGUGGACUCCAGAGGCCCAGCUCUGUGAAGAACUGCUCCACAGAGGCCUGCGCCCUGCACUGGCAUGUAGGUCCGUGGACGCAGUGCACCGCCACCUGCGGACGCCACGGUUUCCAGUCACGCCACGUGACCUGCGCGCACCGUCGAACCGGAAAGGCCGCGCGGGAGCAUCACUGCAUGUGGAGGCCACGCCCUCCCAGCUGGCAGCGAUGCAAUAUCUUGUCCUGUGGCAGAGGAGAGUGUCAGGACAGCACGAGGUACUGUGAGAAGGUCCGACAGCUGGAGCUGUGUCCGCUGCCCCAGUUCAAGAGCCGCUGCUGUCACUCCUGUCGGAACACCUGAGGCCGGGACGCGAGUCGAGGGCCGUUAACAAGCUGGACAGGUCAGGGAAGAUCCUCCGACAGCCAGCAGAGACUUGAAAGCUCUACGCCCCAUCCUGACACUCACACCUGUCUCCAGUGAUCGGUCUUGGAUGGGGGCACCUGAGUGUGGAGGAACGUUUGUGGCUGUGAUCAACUCUCCUUAAAGAUAUCACGUGUGGGUUUGGGUUUGAAAGUUUUGAGAGGAGUUUCAUGUCUGUAAAUGAAGGCUUCAGUUUUACUUCUUUUUUUCUAAAUCUGGAGUUCACUUCGACAACUUUUCCUAAAUUUGGCAACAAGCAGGAUACAAGUAAGGCUUGUUUUUUGUUGUGAGCAAUAGAAACUUGUGGUGACCGCCUGGUUUCAUGAAGGGGAACUCGUACAGAAAUGUGGCACUGGUGAAUAACAACCUCCACAUGAAUUGUUUCUGGUGUGGUUUCAGGGGUUUCCUUAGAAUAAUGGAGCAACAGCACUGCAGCACCAUCACGCCAUGUCCAAAACAGGAUGCAUAUUAUCAUGCAGCUUAUUUUACAAUACACAAUAAUGUUAUGAAUACGCUUGUUUUUAAAUGAUUGACUUCAUACCCAGGGAUUCUGGGUAGACCCCCGGCCUUUGAUAACCACUGGAAAGUCGUGUGUUUGCAUUUAUUGCGAUGGUCUCCAAAACAAUGCUGAUAAAUAGUGUUGAUGCUAAAUAAGCUUUUUAUUAAUGAGGCAUGGAUAAACUGAAAUACAGCGUAAUGUUGUUCAUAAAUGGGUAACAUGACAAAAGGCUUCAUAUUUGAUAAAUGAUAUAUUUAAUAUCAGCCACCGGGGAAAUAAAUCAUAAUCUGUGCCGUCUUUUAGCGCA